AGCCCUGCAUGUGCCCCAGGGCAGUGACAGAGGCUGGAGGGAGGAGAAGGUUCUGCACCCCUCACUUGCCUGCCAUUGUCCCCAGCUGGUGGCUGGUGUCAAGUACUACCUGACCAUGGACUUGGAGAGCACAGCAUGCCGGAAGACCAGGGUCUCUGGAGAUCACCUGGACCUCACCACCUGUCCCUUGGCCACAGGGGUGGAGCAGGAGAAGCUGCGCUGUGACUUUGAGAUCCUUGAAGUCCCCUGGAAGAAUUCCACUGAGCUUCUGAAGCAUAAGUGUAUGCAGCAGUAACUGGCCCUCGGGCCAGCAAUGGGAGGAACUGCACACAGGGUGGAGGGCACUGCUGGGCCCCAGGCCACAUGUGCUGCAAUAAACAACCAGCACUGCUUCUUGUA